UACGUAGGGUGCGAGCGUUAAUCGGAAUUACUGGGCGUAAAGCGUGCGCAGGCGGUUUUGUAAGCAGGAUGUGAAAUCCCCGGGCUUAACCUGGGAAUGGCAUUCGGGACUGCAAGGCUGGAGUGCGGCAGAGGAGACUGGAAUUCCUGGUGUAGCAGUGAAAUGCGUAGAUAUCAGGAGGAACACCGAUGGCGAAGGCAGGUCUCUGGGCUGACACUGACGCUCAUGCACGAAAGCGUGGGGAGCAAACAGG
rnacentral:rRNA from 1 species